CCACGCGACCGGCACGCGCAAUCAUAAUGAAUGUAUAUAAAUUAAAAGCACCAUUAUCAGAGUAGUAGUUUCUGAGUUCGAGUCCGGUCCGACCUCUAGUCUCAUUUAAUUCAAAUCCACAUUUUGUGUCCAUCAAAAAGUUUCGAGCCCAAACGUAAGGAAGAGUGUUGAAUAUAUAAAUUAAAAAAUAUCGUUCUCUAAUAUCUUAAACUUGUAGUGAAUAUAUAAAUUAAGAAUACCAUUCAUUGCCA
rnacentral:lncRNA from 1 species